rnacentral:lncRNA from 1 species
UGAGGUUACGGUGUACGUUCGAUUGGAGAGCCAUUUGAAUGGUUCCGGUAAGGUUGCGGUGUAAUGUAAUAUACCAAAUUUAAAUAUAAAAAUAAAAAAUAAAUAAAAAUAGUAUGAGAUACUAUUUUAUUGGAUUUAGAGAAGUAAAACAUAAGUCAGAAGUGACUUGUGCUGAAAUCGGGAUGAAAACAGAAGAUCUGAAAUUUUCUGUUGGAAACGGGACAGAAAAAUUAGCAGAAAAUGCACAGUCUCAGAAAAUUAUGAAAAUUGGAGGAUAUGUCAAAAAUAUUUUUAUGAGGCUAGAUUUAUGGUUUCAUAUUUUUCUGACACCCGUAGAGUGAGAAAUAAAAUCCGAGAGUUAUCUGCUAAAGAUUACAGUUCGGCACAGUUUUCAGUGACCAAACGGGGUCAAAACUGAAAACUUAAGAUAUAUUCUUACUCAGUAUGUUAAACUGAGCAUGCCUAUCAAAUUUGAGCUCAAACGGACAUUCAGAAGUGCUCCAACCGUACCGAACUGCUAACUGAUGUGAAUAGUGUAAAGUUGAGGGACUAACUUGUAAAAUGGGAUUAAAUCCCUUUUCUCCUCCCUCAACCUGCGUACACAACCCGCACCACACACACACACACACACACACACACACACACGCCACAACACACGCAUGGAAUGGAAAGGAGAAAGCUCACUUUCUCUCUCUAAAUUUCUCCCAAAAUAGAGGGAAUUGAUGGAGAUUAAAGCUUCAAGGUGGAUUUUCAUCUUCAUCAUCAUCUUCCUCUCCAUUGGAGCUUGCUUGAGAGGUAAGCUUCAAAACCCUUUAAUGGUAGAACUCUAAGAAUUGAUCCUUAUGCUCUAAAAAUAGUUUUAAUGGAAUCCUAGCAUGCUAAAUAGAUGAUUAUUGCUAGAAUCUAGGAUCAAUUUAGUUAAUUCUUGCCUAGUUAUAAACCUAGGGCUCAAAAUGCAAUUUUUGGAAAUAUAAGGGUUUGAUCUCAUUUGACCCUCUGUAAACCUAAUUGAUAGGUCACUGAACGCGUUGGAAGCGACGGUUCGGCGAUUCGUCGAGCCGGUGCGAAGUUAUUAAUUAAAGAAACGAACGUUAGGCUUCGUUUCCGCCUGGAGGGCCGAGGCGGCUUCCAUAAAUCGCGGAAUCGGAUUUCGAGCAUCGUGACGAGGAACCGAAGACCUUUAAUUUCCAGAUCGCGGAUAGGAGGUCAUUUGGCAGUCGCGCGUGAGUUGGGUCGAGCCGUGCGGUGUGCGCCGCAGGAGGCCGAUUGCGAGUGACGACGGGCAAUCGGAACGCUAUAAAAGGUGGGUGGUGUCCAUCCCGAAGCAAUCGGGCUCCCUUUUAUGUCUAAGUUUUAUAUUGAUCAAAUUGCAUAUUGACAUAUUGCAUUAUAGGGUGAUAAAUGAUGGUUUGGUCCUAUACCUUGCAUGUUCUUUGGUAGAAUAAUGUAUUUGGCUUAGUACUUAUAUCUAGCAUGCUUGAGGUUUAUAUAUGUGAUGUGGAACCCUAUAAUGAGAUGAUAAGUGUGGAUGGGAAUUUAGUAAUGUAUUGGCUAUUGCAUUGGAAACUUGUAAAGAACGAGUGGCAUCUAGUUGAUAGUAAACAAAAGAACGAGUGACAUAUGUGAGUCGUAGUGUAUAUGAAACCUAUGGACUAUAUGAUGAUUGUAACCCUAGAGGAUAGGGUAUUCUCGAGAUGAGGAUUGGAUCAUGCUCACGGUCUGUUUUAAAUCUUGUGAUGGAAGCCCCACACAAGUAGUGCGCUCCGGAUGUUGGUCACGCCAGGGAUUGCCUAUUUGGCCCCGCCAGACGGUCUCGGGUCCGUAGUGUGAGUUAAUUCUCCCUACGUGUCGAGAUGGCUAGUGAGCUGUAGGCGAGCCUUCGGGUAAGCCAUGAGAUUAAUGAACAAGUAAAUGAGGUUAAUGAACGAGUGAAUAGCUUCACCUUUGGACAUGAUAACAGGUUAGUUGCUUACCUAUUUCAUUGUACAUGCAUUCAUAUAUUUAUGAUUGGGCAUAGUAGAGUAGCUUUACUCCUGUCAUUUACCGCUUUCCUUAUCUAUCUAUCUAUCGAUUAUCUACUUGUGCCCGACUUGGACCUAGUGGGGAGAUCGGCGGAGUCGGCGGCCGAACCCACUGGGAACUAAGGAAGUUAGUUCUCACCCCCAUUUUACUACAGGGCCGAGCGCGAGUUCACACGGCGAGGAUCGCGGUAAGGGCUUAGCGCCCUAGUUGCAUUAGUCUACUUUCCUAUUUCUGCAUUAGAGUCACCUUUUAUGCUUUGAGAGUAGACGAUGCAUAGGAUGUGAGAUAUUCUGGGAUGAAUGUAAGCUAAUGUUUAUAUUUUGAAAGAUGUAAGUUUUGGAAGUUCAAUGUAUAAUCGAAUUGGAAUCUAAUAGUUGAAUGAAUGUAAUAGAUAGAUGCUCUCUCUUUAUCAUUACUUGUAUGUUCUAUACUUGUAUCUUGCUCUUGGUCGUUUUGCACUGAUUGUGCUCUCGUUGUAGUUAUCGAUUGUGUAUGUAUUCAAGUUAUUUUCCUGGGAACUUGUUGUACACAAUCUCGUUGUUAGCCUUGGGCGGACAGGGGAGGUGCUGUCCGUCCGGCGUCUGUUCGACGUGCCCGGGCCGAGCCAAAUUGGUAGCGGUCGCGGGGCGUGACAGAUAAAGUGGUAUCAGAGCAAUUAAGAGCAAGUAAAGAGAGAGUUUAGGAUGGACCUAGGAGACCCUAGGACGGUGAACCCUAAGGUUAUAGGUGCGUGAGUGACGUGAACCUAUACGGUGGCGAAAGUUGGAUCGAUUGGGUCAAGUUGGUAAACCUCUAAGACGGAUGUUAGAGGUGGACUCAAGGUUUUGUUUAUUCUCACCCGAGGGUUCAUGUUGGAUGCAUACAACAUGAAACUGAGUGGUGAGAAUAGGCACCCUUGUAUGACUUUCGCCCGAUUGAGUCGCGUCGUCUAAUAGUUGCGACGAGGUUAGCAGGUUAAGGUAAUUAACCGAGUCGUUGUGUUUCAGGAGCUAAUGGCACCAAGGAGACACUACGCGCGUAGAACCGUUCCGGCACCGCCUCCCGAGGUGCCUGAGCGAGCUGGGUCAAGUGAAGUGCAAGAAUUACGAGCGCAGAUGACUACGCUUAUCGGCGUGAUUCAACGCCAAGGAAGUCAGAUCGAGCGGCUCCAAGAGCUUUUGGAGCGACAAGUGGCGACGGCGGCCGUGACGACAACUGAAGGCCAUGGUCCGCCCGCGCCCUCGGCUCGCGCGCCUGAUGCGCCUGAGGGCGUGAGCAUUUUGGUGACUCCGGCGGUGGCGCAUCCCCUGCCGGCUAGUGUCCCUCUGGCGGCUUCGGGUCCUACGAUACUCGAUGCGGCAGCUGGGGAAGUGAGACAGGAACGCGAGGCGUUCAAGGAGAGUGGAGUGAAGAAACGGCCUCGUGGUGGUUCGGGGGAACAGUCUAGUUCCAAAAAGGCCCCGAAGUACCAAAAGCGGCGGUCCAUUAGACAAGGACCUAUGCGGUGCGUGAUCUGCGGUGGAGGACAUCGCGCGGGGAAUUGUAGGAAUCGGGCGGGGCGGUGCUUCAAGUGUGGUCGGGCGGGACAUAUGGCCCGUCAGUGCGCGGAAGGAGUGCCACCUGCCCCGUCAGUUGCAUCCGCCCCAGAGAUUCAGCGACAGUUUGGUGGAGUUCCGUCUGCUACCACCGUAUCUGCGGGGUGUGUGAUUUGUGGAGGAUCCCACCAGGCGCGGCGGUGUGCACUGCGAGAGGGAAGGUGUUUUCGUUGUGGGCAGUCUGGCCACGUGAAAUAUGAUUGCCCCUUGGGCGAUGGACGACUCCCGCCGACAGCGACGACUUUCACCUCUCCGGGUCAGAUGGUGGAUGUGCAGUUUGUGGCACGGUCUGGAGAGCUUGGGGUUGUCGAGCAGCCGGAGGACUUUCAGGGAACGCCAAGCGGCCCUGGAUAAGCGGCUCAAGUCGAGGAACCUGCUGCUGUUGGUGAUGCUACCGCAGGUAUGAUUUAAUUAAAGCAAUCAUACAUUCUAGCAAGAAGUAGUUUGAGCAAUUGCAGGCAUUUGCUUUGUGAUCUUUUACUACUAUUUACAUGUUAGUAUAGUAGAGACCAAGACGCAGGUCAGUGUAGUUACCCCCCCCCAGCAUGCAUAAGUCGUGGUGGUAUGUCGCCUACCUAAAGGGGAUUGGUGAUUAGUCAAUGCCGACAAGUUGCUGGUGACGAACCGAGAGCAAGACUCCCUUUGGGGGAUCUGUGCGUUGUAGCGUGAGGCAGGGCACACCUAGCCGUACGUUGCUUGUAAGCAGUCGGCAAGGGUGUGGUAGAAAGGUAUUCGACGGAAUCGAUUGCUUGGUCUCCCUCCGAUGGUCUGGGAUGAAUUCGGGGAUUAGUAUCCUCCGUUUACUUCCCCGAUGGUGAUAGAGGAAAGCUUCAGGAUAAGUUUCUGAAGCUGUGGCAGGUAAACAGCACCGUGAGGCGAUACGAGCGAGAAUUCUCUCGUGUCGUGCGUUGCGUCCCGAACGUAGCGCGGGAUGACGAGGACAUGGCCGAAUUGCUUGUGCGGAGAUUUCGGCCGGGCGUUGUUAAAGUCAUUUAUGUAGGGGAAGUGGAUUCUCGAAAUCCGAGGAUUUGACUUCGUCAGAAAUCGACUAAUUGUCGAGUGUGUAGGCUUCGAAGAAGCCGAAGAUGUCUAAAUCACCAAAAGUGCGUUGGAGUUGGAGUCCACGAGAGCAAUAGUGCAAGGUCUGCACUUGGUGGAGUUGCUCUCUAGGACCGGUCCCUGGCAGGGAGGAACCGGUCCCCGUAGCCAAUGGUUGCGGGGUUGCUUGAUGCAACCGGUCCCUGGAUCUGAGGGACCAGUCCCCCCCGUGUGCGAAAUCGGCGAGAAGCGAAAAAUUGGCUAAGUCCCGGAAAUGCCACUCUCGGGAACCGGUCUCUCAGCAGGAACCGGUCUCCCGAGGACCGGUCUCUCGGGCAAGGACCGGUCCCCGUAGCUCAAAAUUGCCCAGUUUGGGGCAAUGCACCUUCUUGAGUGCGAUCGCAAUCCCGAACCUCGGAGGUGCCUUUGUUGACUUCCUUGAGAUGCGGGAUUGUGGGGGUUCUCACCGAGCACGGUAGUGUGCGUUGCGUGGUGAGAUAGGCAUUCGUGCGGUCGAUUGCAGGGUCGCGUUGUAGGAGGUAGCCUCUUCCUUUCCGAGACAGUUUGUGAAUGUGAAGUCUACAGAGUGGUCUAGAGAACGAGUGGUGAGGAAGUAACGACGGAGGGUUCGCGGUGGGCAACGAGCGUCCGUGAGUACGCGACCUUGGUCGAAGGACCUUGCAUUCAUUCAUCGUGUGGUCGCUUGCUAUCGUCGAUGCAUCGAUGUAGUAAGGACCAAAGUGACGGAUAAGUGUAAAUACCCGAGCAUGCUUGCGCGUGAGGGUGUAACGCUUGCUGGAGUAGAUGGAGGGUUAGACGGUACUAGCAAAUUGCUAGUAGUGGAUUCUAGACAGGAAGUGAGACUCGUGGGAAAGACGAAACGGUGAAGCGACUCUCAAGACAACGGGUAGUUGGUUGCGAGAGUUGAGCCGUGAUACUUGUGCAUAACCGAGCAACUCGAGCAUCUCGGAUAUUGUUCCGGUAGAUUAAACAGUGAAAGUAGGAUCACUGCUGAAAGAGUGGUUGGUUGAUUAUCGAGUUACGACCUCGAAUUGAGAUGGCUGAGUCAUACUUGUGUGGCCAUGUGCUAGGGCAGAAGUGCCUAAGGCUCGAAUUCGGAGUAGAGCGUUAGAGAGGCGUACGACGUGCGAGUGUAGAUACUCGUAGAGUACGGAUUUGCUUUAGCCGAGAGAGUGUGUUGGCUGUAGCACUUUAGCGUUGCUAAGUGUGAAGCGGGCCAUGGAACACUUGUAGGGUUGAUGGCUCACACUAGGUGCUUAGGCACUUAGGAGCCGGUAAUGGUACGUGUAACUCAAUAGAGUAUGUUGUAUAAGACGACGACGGCGAGUAGUGCUUGGGGACUGCCCGUGCCUGGACCAUUUGUGGACUGUGGAGCCUGGGCCCAUUGGGCAGGCACAGCCAGCUGUGAGAGACAGCGGCCCAUUGAAGGGCAGAGUUUUGGUCAGGGCGGUAGUCCAAGCUGAGACUCGGGAGCGUGGAAUGACACACGUGGAUCAUGAGAUCGAGGAUACACCUAGUGGGUAGUGACCCAACCCAAGGAUUCGACGUGGUUUGGGGUCUUAGUUGCUCCUGGUUGGAGUGUGUGCGAAUUCUCCAAUGAGAAUUUCGCUCAAUAGUGAUAAUUGGGUCUACAUUGGUGAGCGAGAGACACUACGCGUAGUUGAGACUGGUUUAAGCGACAGGUCUACGUAGGAUUGGUGACCUGUGGUUCACCUAUGGAUUUGAUGAAAAUGGUUGAGCGAGUAGCCUCAGUGAUGGGCGUGGCCUAGAAUGACGAACGGAUGUUCAUGUGGAUUCGUUGCAUGAACGAGUUGGUGAUGAUCGUGGCAUAUGGUAUUCGGGGAUAUACUGCUCGCGUGAGACAUUGAGCUAUUGGAAGCCACGAGAGGUAGAGGAUUGAAGUUGAUGCCCCUAAGUGAAUUGGAGCUUGAGGAUAAUGCUCUUUUAAGGGCUGAGUUGGAGAUGUGCCAAAGCGUGCCAUCCCGCGGUAGAGCAAGGGUCUGGUUGAAGAUUGGAGCACUCGCAGUGGGUCGAUGCACCAAUGAUAUUGCUUCUAGGCGAUAUUGGCGAUCGAAUUGGAGUGUGACCCCUAGAGGGAUGGUAAAAGUGACGAAGAGUCGUGAAUGAGAAAUACGAACUCUUGGAUAGCCAAAGUGGUGGAGCGCCGCUUUGUUAACAUUCGGGUGAUUCGAGAGGGCUUACCCGUGUGUGCUGUGUCGUGGUGGUGGACCAUAUGACUAUUGGUGCGUUCUUGAUAGCUCCACACCAUGAGGAUAGCGGGUAGUCCCGGUCUCGAGGGAGGUGGUUUGGCCUUAGUGGGCCAGUUAGCGAAUGGAGUUGGAGCGCGUAGAGCCGUUGAGCUUCGACUUGCGCUGCUACCAAGAAUAACGGAGAACGUAAUGCACCUUGCGAGAUGCGCCUUGCAAAGUUGUACGAGUUGGGUAUUGUACCCUCCGUGUUGGGCCUCUUGGAUAGUUGCAAAGAGGGUAAAGCCAAUCCGAACUAGAAAAGUGCAUUAGCGCCCUAAAUUGCUCAAGGAGCCGAAUUGAGGCGUGGUUUGAGUUUCGCGGACGAAACUCUUUUUAAGGAGGGUAGGAUGUAAGGUACCAGACUUCUAAAAUCAUGAGGUUACGGUGUACGUUCGAUUGGAGAGCCAUUUGAAUGGUUCCGGUAAGGUUGCGGUGUAAUGUAAUAUACCGGAUUUAAAUAUAAAAAUAAAAAAUAAAUAAAAAUAGUAUGAGAUACUAUUUUAUUGGAUUUAGAGAAGUAAAAUAUAAGUCAGAAGUGACUUGUGCUGAAAUCGGGAUGAAAACAGAAGAUCUGGAAUUUUCUGUUGGAAAUGGGACAGAAAAAUUAGCAGAAAAUGCACAGUCUCAGAAAAUUAUGAAAAUUGGAGGAUAUGUCAAAAAUAUUUUUAUGAGGCUAGAUUUAAGGUUUCAUAUUUUUCUGACACCCGUAGAGUGAGAAAUAAAAUCCGAGAGUUAUCUGCUAAAGAUUACAGUUCGGCACAGUUUU